GCUGAGACCGAGGCUCGGAUCCGUGAUGGGAAGACUUCCCUGCCUCCUUUCCUGGCCGGGUGUGGACGAGCUGGGCCAGAGGCUGUGCAGCUGGUGGGCGACCCAGGGGGACUCGGUACCUGUUCCUGCCCGUGUCUGGCCCCGUCCCCACUGCCAGGCCCUCUGAGCACCCCCUGGGGUACAGAAUGAAUAUGCUGAAUAUUUACAGAUCGGCUCUGCGGGAUCAUUAUAGACGGAAUGGCAGGGAAAUUCUUUGCGGAGAGAUCAUUCCUGCCAAAUUUUAGGAAUCUGCGUAGUGGUAUUUUUAAAGUCGGGCUUGCUGAGAUUUUUCUGGGGUUACCCUUACAAAAGGCGACAGACUGGAUGAGCUAAACAACAGGAGUGGUCUUACGGCUCUAGAGGCUGGGAGUCCAAGACCAGAGACUCUUCCUUCAAACUACAGUCGUGUCCUGAAGUAUUGGGGUGAAGGCUUCUCCGUGCUUGCAGGGGGCCGUUCAGUUCCCAUCGCCCCCAACGGUUCUCUCCCGCCCCUUCGCGGCGGUUGACAGGCUGAUAAGCUCGAUGAUACCAGGGGCCGCGGCGUUUGCAGGCCGCUGGUGGUGCCAGGCACCAGGCUGCAAGCUGUGGGCGAGUCCUCGCGAAUCCCACGGCAGCUCACUGGCUCCUCCUCGCUCCGUGGGGCCGUCUUAGAACCGAGAACAUAUUACAGCAGAGGAAAUAUUUUAAAAGCCGUGGCCUCGUGGGAUCCUGUCAGUAUAUUUUCGAUCUGUCCUUCCUAAAGGAAACCCCCUCUGUUACGGGUUCGCAGAAGCUCAGUCCUGAAAAAUUGGAAGAUAACCAGAGAAAUUCUUUAAAGUCCUAAUAUUUCAGAGAGAAACAUCUUAGCCCAGCGGCCAUGAAAUUAAUGAA